CUGAGCCGAAGUCGGAUGCUUAACCGACUGAGCCACCUAGUGCCCUCAGAAUAUUCUAUUUUUACUUGAGAAAUGUAGGUUGUAGAAUAUGCACACAGCUUCCCAUGUUUGAAAAGAACAUGAAAUGUGUUUGCAUAAAAUGAGAUGGAUGUUUCAAAAUGAAACGGUUUCUUUCCAAGGUAGAAUUGUGGGUGGCUGCUGUUUGUCAGUGUUUGCUUGUUUAUAUUUUCUAAGAUUGGUGUAAUGAGCAUUUUGGAAUUUUGUGAUGUUGAGAAAAAUUUUAAAGGAAUGACUCCACGCUUUUGAACCUAGAGUAGCAGAUGUAUGUGGUGGAGAAGUGGAGCUUCAAGUCUGUUGGAGUCAGCGGAGAUGCUGGUGUCAGUCUGGGGCUUGGGGCGCGUUCUUGGUUUAGGGAAUGAAGGCUUGUGUCAGGGAGAGCAAUUGGGAGCUUGGGAGGAAACCACCUGCCAGAGGAGAGUGAGGGUGCCUGAGGCAGGCUAGGGAGGAGAGGGGAGUUUGAAAAGUGAGAGGUGGCUAUGGCCAGCAGGGUUGGAUGCUGUUGGGGGUACUUCCAAAGCGUGGGAGCCAGGCUUCAGGGGCAUGCAGUGAGGUUGCAGGUGGAGAGUAUCUGGAAGCGUGGCCUACUUGGAAUGACAUCAGAUGGGAGACGACGGAGAUGGGGCAGCAUCCUGGGUCCACUGUUGGGUGCAAGUGGGGCCUCUUCCCUCCACUUUUCUUCAGACCAUGGCUGUCUUGGUGUGGCCAGUGCAUUCCUUCUGUGGUGCUUCUCCUUUGCUUCUGACUGGAGCAGACUGGGACAUGACCAUCAGUGCCUUUGUCCUCUGUGAGCUUGUCACUGCUAUCUGGAGUAGGUGUCAUAUGUGGAGAAGUGAAGGAGGGGACUUCGUUAGCAGGCUCGGAGGCAAAAUGGACACAUGGCCUUGCUGUCUGUGGGAGGAGUAACUAUUGGAGGAGAAAGGAUGGAGUAAAUUUCUGAGGGCUCAGGGAAGGGGAGCCCUCAGAGGACUGGGAAAGACAGACUGCUUUCCAGAUUUGUCCAACAGCCAUGGGCAAGUGCCAGGCUAAUCCUGACCCUGUCAUUCCACUUUUGGCACCUGCUGGAAGGAUAGAGAAGGAAAAUGGGCGGGUAUGUACUUCCAAGUCCUCGGUGGGAUUUCCUAGGAUCAAGCACAACAAGCAGAAAAAUUAAGGAUAUAUAGCGUUGUGUUUGGACAUUUUUACUGGUUGUGUUGGGAUUUAUAUUCUCCAAAGUCCAGGUGUGCUGUUGGAUAUGGAAUCCUGGAUCAAUGGAGGGAGAGAGAGCACCUAAAAUCCUUUUCUUACCACAAGUUAGCCGGCCUGUACUCACUACUUCCGUCGUUUUUUUUUCUACUUGCACUUGAAAAUUUUAAAUAAAUCGGUCUAUUCAGUUAAGACUUGGCUAAUGCUUGGGGGAAGAGAAAACUGCAAACACUUGGAAAACCAUCUCAAUGACUCAGCUUCCAAGAUGUGAAUCUCAGCAAAGCAAUUUUGAGGGCAAGCGGCGGAAGUGGGGAGACUUGUAGGACUCAGCUGAGAUGGCCGCGAGGACCUGGAGGGCUGUGUGGGCCAGGACUCAGAAGAUGUACGGCGCCCCACAGUAGUAAAGGCAGCCCCAGACCAGGCAGGUGGCCUUCCCUUGGACUGGUCCUAUUCUGGUCUACUCGACCUCUUGCAACUAAAGGGUGGACCCCGCCUGGGUCACAACGGCCCCCCAGGUGGUAUGGGCGCUCGGGGAAUGCUUGAACAUGGAAGGGUAAUAUUUCCAGUGAAUAACAAGCCCAAAGCAUUAGAACUAGACUUCAAACCGUAUCCCAAGCCCAAGUCUCCACUUUCUGGAUGAGGAAAGGGCUCAAGCAGGAGAAGGGCACAGAGCCGGGAAUUCCAACUCCAGCUAUUUUGACGAAUGUUAAUCUUCUGGAAAGUUGUUUAACAAGAAUAUGGGGCUCUCGCACUCCAAAAAUAAAUGGCUCCGAAUAGAGCAUUAUUUGGGGUAGCACUGGCUCGCUGAGACUCUGGAGGGCCCCCUGCAGCUAGUGCGGAUCGAUGGAGCUGCAGUGUCGAGGCUGCCACACGGGGGCGGCAUCCCUCUUCCUUUGCCUUGGGUCAGCCUCCUUAACGCCAUCAGUCCUGAAGUAGUCCCAGAACUUGGAGAACACAGUCAGCCAUCUCCUCUCCUUCACAGUAGCUAAAAGCACAAUAGGUGUGGUUUAACAGAGGCCUCCGGCCAGAAAGCAGGGGAUCUUUUAUGGGCUUCUGCUAGUAAGCCCUUCGAUCCUUGUCACUCAGAGUGCGGCAUCGCUAGUUGCAAACGAAUGUCGGACGGACCCCAGACCUUGGAGAAUUGCCCAGCCCAGUACUUGUCACACUUGGCUGGGGAUCUUGCUAGAAGGCAGAUUCUGGUUGAGUGGGGCUGGAAUGGGGCUUGAGAGCCCACAGGUGUAGCAAUCCCCCAGGUGAUGCCCAUCGUGCAGCUCAUAUUGACCCUGAAAGACUUAAAGCCUAGGAGCCUCAGUUUCUUCUUCGGUAAAAUGGGGAGCACACCAGUCCUGUCUGUCACAUGAGAUGAUGGUUGUGGAAGACGUUCAUGACAAACAAGAGGGGUAAAAGUGUGAUGAACGCCAGGCAUGUCAUUUGCCUUUUGAAGUCCCACUGGCAGUGCAAAGAAUAAGUAUUCGCGGGCUGUGGAAGAAUCUCCUUUCUUGUCCUUCCUUACCUGCCAAGAAGCCAGGCUCCUGAGGAAAAUGCUGAAGGGAGGCCAAGUUGCAGAGAGACAAUGACCGCCUCCUGGGGGCGGGGCCUCUAGCCCCCGGGUUGGGGAGAGAGUGUUGCCUCCCCCACCCCUGAAUCCUUCCUACCUGGUGCCAGAGGCCCUACCACUCGUUUUGACUUGAGCCACUCCUCUUGGCUCUGUGUGAUCCCAUUAUUGGCCCCAGAAGGGGAUGAAGCGGGACGAAGAGAGUAGGGGGUCUCCAGAGCUAUGGACAGAGAUUCCCAGGAAGCAGCUGCGUGAUUAUCUGAAUCCUGGGCAUCUGCUGCCAAGGAGCAACGACUGGAAUAAAAAAGGUUCCAUAUCUGCCCUUCGGGGAGUACAGAGUGUGGACAGGCACUGGAACACAAGCACGGACAAGUUAUUGCUCAUUGGAAAAACGGCAUGCAGAGUAGUCAUUCUGCCUGGGGCUGUCAGGGAAGGCUUCCUUGAGCUGAGGUCUGGCUGAACUUUGAAGGCUGCAAGGACUUUGCCUAGCAGGGAAAGGAAGAGAAGGAAGAACAUGGCAGGCAGAAGGAGCGGUGUGGGCAGAGGCACAGAGCUUUAUCUUCUGUCCUGGGGAAGAAGGAAGAUUUAACCUGAGUUGUGAUAAAGCUGGUGGAGAGAUGAGUUGGCUGGAUAGCAUCCUGGAGUCCCAUCUCCAAGAGGAGCUUACAUAGCCCUGAACUUGGAAGAGUUGGAGAAAACCCACAUGUCACAAUAACCCUUUCUAUAGGGGCACCUGAGUGGGUCAGUCAGUUAAGCGUCGGGGUCUGUGGGCUUAGGUCAAUAUUUCUUGAGUUCAGGUCUCACUGUUGGGCUCUGCCCUAACAGCACAGAGCCUGCUUGGGAUUCUCUCUCUCUUCCUGUCUUUCUGCACCUCUCCCACUCGCUCUCUCUUUCUCUCAAAAUAAAUAAAUAAACUUAAAAAAAAAGAA